UACGAAGGGGGCGAGCGUUGUUCGGAUUUACUGGGCGUAAAGGGCGCGUAGGCGGCCUUGUCAGUCAGGCGUGAAAGCCCCGGGCUCAACCUGGGAACGGCGCUUGGGACGGCGAGGCUGGAGUUCGGGAGAGGAGAGUGGAAUUCCCAGUGUAGAGGUGAAAUUCGUAGAUAUUGGGAAGAACACCAGUGGCGAAGGCGGCUCACUGGCCCGAUACUGACGCUGAGGCACGAAAGCGUGGGGAGCAAACAGG
rnacentral:rRNA from 1 species